UACGGGGGGGGGGCAAGCGUUGUUCGGAAUUACUGGGCGUAAAGGGUGCGUAGGCGGUCCGCUAAGUUGGAUGUGAAAACUCUGGGCUUAACCCAGAGCCUGCAUUCAAAACUGACGGGCUAGAGUUCUGGAGGGGGUAGCGGAAUUCCUGGUGUAGCGGUGAAAUGCGUAGAUAUCAGGAGGAACACCGGUGGCGAAGGCGGCUACCUGGACAGAAACUGACGCUGAGGCACGAAAGCUAGGGGAGCAAACAGG
rnacentral:rRNA from 1 species